GAUGAACGCUCGCGAUAGGCUUAACACAUGCAAGUCGAGGGGUAACGUGUUGGAAGCUUGCUUCCGAUGACGACGACCGGCGGAUGGGUGCGUAACGCGUAUGCAACUUGCCUCACAGUGGAGAAUAACCCGGAGAAAUCCGGACUAAUACUCCAUACACUCUUAAGUACGCCUGUACAUGAGAGGAAAGAUUUAUCGCUGUGAGAUAGGCAUGCGUCCUAUUAGGUAGUUGGUGAAGUAACGGCUCACCAAGCCGACGAUAGGUAGGGGUGCUGAGAGGCAGAUCCCCCACAUUGGGACUGAGACACGGCCCAAACUCCUACGGGAGGCAGCAGUGAGGAAUAUUGGUCAAUGGAGGAAACUCUGAACCAGCCAAGUCGCGUGAAGGAAGAAUGUCCUAAGGAUUGUAAACUUCUUUAGCGAGCGAGUAAGGACUUCCACGUGAUGGGAGUUUGAAAGUAGCUCGAGAAUAAGUAUCGGCUAACUCCGUG
rnacentral:rRNA from 1 species